AGAGUUUGAUCAUGGCUCAGAACGAACGCUGGCGGCGUGGCUAAGACAUGCAAGUCGAACGGGUCUGUUAAUUUAUUAGCAGAUCAGUGGCGAAAGGGUGAGUAGUGGAUAGGUAACGUACCCCGUACUCUGGGAUAGCCAUCCGAAAGGGCGGGUAAUACCGGAUAAUAUCACCGAUCGAUGGGUUGGUGAUCAAAGAUUUAUCGGCGCGGGAGCGGCCUAUCUCCUAUCAGCUAGUUGGUGAGGUAACGGCCCACCAAGGCGAAGACGGGUAGCGGGACUGAGAGGUUGGCCCGCCACGUCGGAACUGAGAUACUGUCCGGACCCCCACGGGGGGCUGCAGUAACGGAUAUUGGGCAAUGGGCGAAAGCCUGACCCAGCGACGCCGCGUGCGGGAGGAAGUCCUUCGGGAUGUAAACCGCUGUCAGGGGUAAGAAAGUCCGUUUCGGCGGAUUGAUCUAACCCAGAGGAAGUCACGGCUAACUCUGUGCCGGCAGCCGCGGUAAGACAGAGGUGGCUAGCGUUGUUCGGUAUCACUGGGCUUAAAGCGUGUGUAGGCGGGAGCGUAAGCAUUUCGUGAAAUCCCCCGGCUUAACCGGGGAAUCGCUUGAUGUACUGCGUUUCUUGAGGCAGGUAGGGGUGCGAGGAACUCUUGGUGGAGCGGUGGAAUGCGUAGAUAUCAAGAGGAACGCCGGUGGUGAAGACGUCGCACUGGGCCUGUCCUGACGCUGAGACACGAAAGCGUGGGGAGCGAACGGGAUUAGAUACCCCGGUAGUCCACGCCGUAAACGAUGCCUACUAGAUUGCGGCGGUUCUGACGCCGGCACAGUCGAAGCAAAAGUGUUAAGUAGGCCGCCUGGGGAGUACGGUCGCAAGGCUAAAACUCAAAGGAAUUGACGGGGGCUCACACAAGCGGUGGAGCAUGUGGAUUAAUUCGAAGCAACGCGCAGAACCUUACCUAGGUUUGACAUGCUUGGAUGCUUGCCUGGAACAGGUGGAGCUGCUCUUCGGAGUGAAACUUGCACAGGUGCUGCAUGGCUGUCGUCAGCUCGUGUCGUGAGAUGUCGGGUUAAGUCCCUUAACGAGCGAAACCCUUGCCGUUAGUUACCAGCGGGUCAUGCCGGGAACUCUAGCGGGACUGCCGGUGUUAAACCGGAGGAAGGUGGGGAUGACGUCAAGUCAUCAUGGCCUUUAUGCCUAGGGCAUCACGCGUGCUACAAUGGCCGGUACAAAGCGACGCAAGACCGCGAGGUGGAGCUAAUCGCAAAAAGCCGGCCCCAGUUCGGAUUGUAGGCUGGCAACUCGCCUGCAUGAAGUUGGAAUCGCUAGUAAUCGCGAAUCAGCUAUGUCGCGGUGAAUGUGUUCCUGAGCCUUGCACACACCGCCCG
rnacentral:rRNA from 1 species